GAUGAACGCUAGCGGCAGGCCUAAUACAUGCAAGUCGAACGGUGUCUUCGGACAUAGUGGCGCACGGGUGCGUAACACGUAUGCAACCUACCUUACAUUGGGGGAUAGCCUUUCGAAAGGGAGAUUAAUACCGCAUAAGACAGUAGCUGGGCAUCCAGCAGCUGUUAAAGAUUUAUCGAUGUAAGCUGGGCAUGCGUCCAAUUAGCUAGUUGGUGAGGUAACGGCUCACCAAGGUAAUGAUUGGUAGGGGAACUGAGAGGUCAAUCCCCCACACUGGCACUGAGAUACGGGCCAGACUCCUACGGGAGGCAGCAGUAGGGAAUAUUGGGCAAUGGACGCAAGUCUGACCCAGCCAUGCCGCGUGCAGGAUGAAGGCGUUAUGCGUUGUAAACUGCUUUUAUACAGGAAGAAACGACUCUUGCGAGAGGCAUUGACGGUACUGUAUGAAUAAGCACCGGCUAACCCCGUGCCAGCAGCCGCCGUAAUAC
rnacentral:rRNA from 1 species